rnacentral:lncRNA from 1 species
AAAAUGAUUACAGCUAAUAAAUAAAUGUCUAAUCCCAACAGUACGCACACUGCUCUAGGAGAUUUCAAACGUUCUGACCUUUGAUUUCCUUUGACAGCUGUCUAGAAGUUCUAGGGUUAGACGUUUGGAGUUCCACGUGUUGAUGUAUCUGAUCUUCAGGAAUACCAAAGGAUUGGUUUCUGAAGAUUUCUAACUCAGAUAUCUUCUUAACUUGGUAGAAGUAUCAGAGUCAGAGGCAGAAGUACA